AGCUCCAGUAGCGUAUAUUAAAGUUGUUGCAGUUAAAAAGCUCGUAGUUGGAUUUCUGGUAUAAUGCGCCUGGCCCGCCACUUUUCUGUGUGUGAGUGCCGGCGCGCGUUUGCCAUCUGUCUAGAGAACGUUUCUAUCCUUCACUGGGUCGGAUUCGCAAUCUAGAUCUUUUACUUUGAAAAAAUUAGAGUGUUUAAAGCAGGCUUUUGCUAUGAAUACAUUAGCAUGGAAUAAUAAUCUAGGACUUCGGUUCUAUUUUGUUGGUUUCUACAACUGAAGUAAUGAUUGAUAGGGAUAGUUGGGGGUGCUAGUAUUGAGCGGCCAGAGGUGAAAUUCUUGGAUUCGCUCAAGACUAACUUAUGCGAAAGCAUUCACCAAGGAUGUCUUCUUUAAUCAAGAA
rnacentral:rRNA from 1 species